rnacentral:misc_RNA from 1 species
AAGUCGUAACAAGGUCUCCGUAGGUGAACCUGCGGAAGGAUCAUUAACACGUGAAAACGUAUUAACCAAUCUACCUUUAUACAACCCGUGAAUUUCACCCCUCCCUAUUCAACUGAUAUUGUUCCAUGUUAAUAUGUAGUAGGAUAUGACUUCGGUCAUAUGCAAUUGCAUGGAUACUAGGGUUUCGAACUCAAGAUAUCUUUUUGAAUAGGCUUUUAACUUUUUUCUCCUACUACAAAAAAACUAAACAAACCUAUUUCACCUUUUAAACACUAUUUUGACUGAUGUACGUUGAUAGUAAAGAAAUUUACUGGAUCAACACCAUUUAUUCAACUAAGCACAACUCUUAGCAAUGGAUAUCUUGGUUCUC